GAUGGACGCUGGCGGCGUGCUUAACACAUGCAAGUCGAACGAUGAAGCCCAGCUUGCUGGGUGGAUUAGUGGCGAACGGGUGAGUAACACGUGAGUAACCUGCCCUUAACUCUGGGAUAAGCCUGGGAAACUGGGUCUAAUACCGGAUAGGAGCGUCCACCGCAUGGUGGGUGUUGGAAAGAUUUAUCGGUUUUGGAUGGACUCGCGGCCUAUCAGCUUGUUGGUGAGGUAAUGGCUCACCAAGGCGACGACGGGUAGCCGGCCUGAGAGGGUGACCGGCCACACUGGGACUGAGACACGGCCCAGACUCCUACGGGAGGCAGCAGUGGGGAAUAUUGCACAAUGGGCGAAAGCCUGAUGCAGCGACGCCGCGUGAGGGAUGACGGCCUUCGGGUUGUAAACCUCUUUCAGUAGGGAAGAAGCGAAAGUGACGGUACCUGCAGAAGAAGCACCGGCUAACUACGAGCCAGCCGCCGCGGUAA
rnacentral:rRNA from 1 species